UAAUACAGAGGUCUCGAGCGUUAGUCGGAUUCAUUGGGCUUAAAGCGUGCGUAGGCGGAUGUGCAGGCGUCGUGUGAAAGCCCUCGGCUCAACCGGGGAAUUGCACGGCGAACCGCAUGUCUUGAGACAAGUAGGGGCGGCCGGAACGAUAGGUGGAGUGGUGAAAUGCGUUGAUAUCUAUCGGAACGCCAAAGGUGAAGACAGGCCGCUGGGCUUGUUCUGACGCUGAGGCACGAAAGCGUGGGGAGCAAACGGGAUUAGAUACCCCGGUAGUCCACGCCCUAAACAAUGUGCACUAGAUCGAAGAAGGUACUGACGCCUCUUUCGGUCGAAGUAAAAACGUUGAGUGCACCGCCUGGGGAGUACGGUCGCAAGGCUA
rnacentral:rRNA from 1 species